GAUGAACGCUAGCUACAGGCUUAACACAUGCAAGUCGAGGGGAAACGCCAUCGAAAGCUUGCUUUUGAUGGGCGUCGACCGGCGCACGGGUGAGUAACGCGUAUCCAACCUGCCCAUCACUUGGUAAUAACCUUGCGAAAGUAAGACUAAUACCCAAUGACAUCCCACGAAGACAUCUGAAUGGGUUUAAAGAUUUAUCGGUGAUGGAUGGGGAUGCGUCUGAUUAGCUUGUUGUCGGGGUAACGGCCCACCAAGGCAACGAUCAGUAGGGGUUCUGAGAGGAAGGUCCCCGAUAUGGGAACUGGACCACGGGCCAAAGUCCUACGGGAGGCAGCAGUGAGGAAUAGUGGUCAAGGGGAGAGAGCCUGAUCCAGCGAAGUAGAGUGCAGGAUGGCGGCGCUAUGGGUUGUAAACUGCUUUUAGAAGGGAAUAAAGUGGUUUUCGGGAGAGUUUUUGAAUGUACCGGAUGAAUAAGGACCGGCUAAUUCCGUG
rnacentral:rRNA from 1 species